AACAAGGCGUACCUGCGGACCUGCGGAAGGAUCAUUACUGAGUGAGGGCCUUCGGGCUCGACCUCCAACCCUUUGUGAACACAACUUGUUGCUUCGGGGGCGACCCUGCCGUUUCGACGGCGAGCGCCCCCGGAGGCCUUCAAACACUGCAUCUUUGCGUCGGAGUUUAAGUAAAUUAAACAAAACUUUUAGCAACGGAUCU
rnacentral:misc_RNA from 1 species